UAUAAAUGGCAAUAGCCAAAUUUAAUUUCAAUAAACACUCAAUCACAAAAAGUACUUGCUCCGCCAAGACUCGAACCCGGAUCUCUCAAUUGCAGGGUGAAUGUGCUGUUACAUGCACAUACAUUGCGACAUGCAUGCAUUGAGCAUUUAAAUUAUUAGUGCAUGUUCAAGCCAUUUGAAACUCGUUGGUACUUCAAUAGCUCUAAAAUUUGCAAAAAGACACGCAAUAUUUGAGCCUACCAGGAAAAAUUCUUCUCUUUUUCUUGUAGGUCAAACCAAGUUGAAGUCUAAGUGACACAAGAUGGAAUUGCAGAUUGGAAAUCGUAAACGCAAUCCUAGACAAGUAUGAAAAGAAAGUUGAAACACUAAGAGAAAUAGCAAAAACGGAAUUUCCAAUGGGGGUGAUGCCAACUCUUUAAUCAAAUCCAUGAAAGACUUUACUUUAAUUUUCUGUUUGAUUCUAUUCAAAAGAGUACUAGUACAGUGCGACAUCUUGACAAAAGCACUACAAGCAACCAAAAUCAAGGAAGAAUACACUUUUUAACACCAUCACCAAUGACAUGUUAGACCAACAACAUACAUGACCUGUGUCAGCACUACUCAGUAGAUGAUUCAUUCUCUUGUUUGAGAAGGUUUAAAACAUAUCUAAAGAAUAUGACCAGUCAAGAAAAACUAUCAUCACUUACCUUAACGAAGGAGAUGAGUUUGUAGACGUCAAUAUUCACAGCAUCAAAAAGAAAAAUGAACUUCGUUUAAAAUCAGUGUAGUCUACACCAAAUUUUUGGUACAAUAUUUUUCAGUGACAUUUACUAUAAUAUAGUAAUAUGUAAAUUGUAUUCAGUAGUGUGUAAUGUUUGCUUAGUAAAAUAUUAUAUAUGUUUAAAGCCAAAAAAAGGAAGUUAGUAUUUACUCCAAAUUACUCAUACAAGAUAAUUCUUGGUAAACAAAAUAAAAAUCAUGUUUUCAUUAGUUAGUCAACAAACUUGAUGUGUGCUAACAUUUGUACUCUUCAUUUGCAAUAGUUUUUUGUACCAAAUCUGGAAAACGAAAUUGAUGAAUAUAUAUACUUAAGUUAUUAGAUGAAAGUUUAGAAGUGGUAACAAUUUAGUUGAGAUGUUUGAUGAUGAUUCGUAUGCUGACCCAGAUUUUGUUGUGAGUUAACAUGACAGUGUUAGUGAUGGCAAUAUUGAAAGCAGUCAGCCCGAUCCAAGCAUGUCUAGAAAGUGUAAGAUAUUUUCAAGUACACCAAAGAAACAUUUAUCUCAUAAAAACAUAGGUUAUAUGUUCAUAACAAACAAGACAAAACACUUACUUCGGAGUUUCAAAAUCAUGGAAGCCCGUAGACUCAACUUUUAAUGUUUAUCCCUAUAAUCCAGAAAAUAAGGCUUUAGGAAUCAAACCAGAUAUUAUUAAUUCUAUAUCUAACUGUUCACCUUUUGAUUUUUUUCAACUAUUUUUGGACAAGGAAAUGUUGUCUUUACUAGUAACAGAAACAAAUCCAUAUGCCAAACAAUGUUUGAAAAUAGCUUUUAGUCCUCAUUCCAGAUUGGCAAAAUGAACAGAUACUAGAGUGGAAGAAAUGAAAAACUUUAUGUACAUCUUGAUAAAGAUGGGUCUGCAACAAUUGUGUAGCUUAGCCCAUUACUGGCGACAGGGUGACAUGUAUAUGAGCUGCAUUUCUGAAAUAAUGUUAGGGAUUAGGUUAGAGCUCUUUUUGAGGAUUUUUCAUGUUUCAGACAAUGAAACAGAGCAGCAAGGGGAUAAGCUUAGUAAAACAUCAAAUUUAGUCACAAUUUUGAAUGAAAAUUUAAAAUUUGCCUUUUACCCAAAGAUAAAAUUUGUAUUGCUUAAUCUGUGGUUCUAUUUUAGGUUGGCUAAUAUUUCAUCAGUAUUCGAAAAACAAACGCCACAAAUAUGGUGUUAAAAUGUUCAAACUUUGUGUUGAAGAAGGGUACACUCUUCAAUAUAAAAUAUACUCCAGUAAGGAAAGAACCUACAAAGGAUGUUUCAUUUAAAGUUUUCAUGAAACUAAUGGAGCCUUACAUCAAUUUUGGCCGAACCGUGCAUAUGGACAAUUGGUAUACUAUUGUUCCUCUGGCAAGAGCACACAAAACUCAUCUGGUCAGAACCUUCAGGAAAAAUAGAAAAGAAAUCUUGAAAGACGCUGUCAAAACAAAAUUGAAAAAGGGGAAAUUCUAGCUAAAAGAAUGAGGACAAUAGAGAGGUGGCAAAAAUAAAAACAUACCUGUUGCAACUAUCGACAACAAAACCGCAAAAUCUUACAUCGACUACUCAGAUCAAAUGGGUUCUUAUGGAACACCACUUAAGACAAUCAGUGAAGUGGUAUAGAAAGAUUGCUAUAGAUCUUUUGUUGACAACUUCUGUUAUAAAUGCUCUGUAUUUAUUCCAAACUGAAACAGGUAAACCAAUGAUAAUAACUGAGUUCAAAGAAAGUUUAUGUAAAUAACAGAAGAAAAAAUCAGCCUUAAUUUUGGUGGAACCUUUGCAGAGGCAACAUACUUUGAUUAAACAAAGCACGUGGAGUAAAUGCACUAAAUGCUACCAAAUGAACUGCAAAGAAAGAGGUAAGGAGUUAGCGCAGAAGAAAACAAAAAAGGUGUAUAUUAAGUACCUCUGAUGUGAUAUCUUCCUAUGCAAACACUGCUUUUACAUUUAGCACCCACCAAAAGCAAAAUAAGGACCAUAACUUCAGAAAGAUUGUAUUUUGCCAUAGGGGUAACCUAAAAUUGUAUUAUAAGUUAUUUUUAGAAUUUAAUAUUGUAUUGUUUUAUUUUCCUACCUCAAGUAACAAAUUUUUAUUUUUAUUGAUAUAUCUUUAAAAUAUAGGUAAAACAUUCAGUAAAAUUCAAGACUGCAAUAGAAGCCGUGAGUACCACUUAGGUACUCUAGGCACAGCAAGAGGCCAUGAGCACCACUUUGGUACCCGCACGUUUUGUUAUCGAAAAUUUGUAAAUAAUUAAUGAAUCUUAAUUAUUAGAUGUUUUUAAACAAAAUUAUUCAAAAAUAAAUGGUAAAAAAUACUGAUCCCAGUGGUCAGAUACCUUACAUCAGUAUGGUAGUUGUUAACCUGUGAGAAUUUAAUUUAAAAACUUUUCCAGGGCUUCCUUUCCCCUAAGGGGUAUUCUAUGCAACCUCCCCCCCCCCAAUCUCCUGGUAGGUUUGCAUCCCCCAAAGACACCCCAAAUCCCGCCCAUGCCUUUAACAUGCUACACUUUUACAAAAGUUACGUUUUAAAGUUUUAUUCAAACCAAUAAUAAUAAUAAAUAUGUUGGUGGUAUCAAACAGUUUAACAAAUAUCUUAGAAAAGCUUACAAAUGUAUUUCAGUGGCAAAACAGCACUGAUUUAAUAUGUCCUUAUAAGCAACAAAAAAGUGCUAAUUUAAUAAAACCACUUGUGUCCAUCCUUGCUGCAUGGUUCUGACAUUGUUGGUUAUCUUUAGUAGCUGACACCCUGGUCAACAGUUUGCUUUAUGACAUUGUAAUUUUUCCUACAGGAUCAAAUAAUUGUUAGACGAGUUUCAUAAUUCAAUUCCACUUUUAUUAUGAAGGCACAUAGUUAUUAUUGGAUAUUAAUUAAGUUUGAUUACCUUGUAUAAAUUAUGUUACAUAUAUGAGACAACACCAAGUCUUAAAACUAUAAUUACAUAACAAAAUUAAAAAUAUAUAUCUAAAAUAUAAUUAUAAAAUCAGGUACAACAUAUGUUAUAUUAUUAUACAAAGUGAAAGGCACAUGUUUUAUUUUUUAACUAAUUAAACGUGCUUCUCUUUUUUAUGGAGUUAUAAUUGUAAUACCAUUAUGAAGUAUUAUAAAAUAUAAUUUAUUUAUAUUUUUUUUGUAAUACUAUACACAAAUAGUAAUUAACACUAACCAUUUACGUUGCUUUAUUUUUAUAUUCAAAAUAGAUUAGUUACGACUAUUUCAUAAACAUUUUUAGGACCUGAAAAUAAAAUAAUCUGUUUCAUUUGGUUAUUUUUAUUCUUGUCUUUUUGUUCAUCCAAUAUUAUAUUGUUUCUUUUGGAAACCAAGUAAGAUUCGUUUUGUUUUAUGUUAUGUGAGGUAAGUACUACGUUAAAAGGUGUGCUAGUCCAGGUACUCUGGAUUUAUUUCAAAGUAUCAGCAAAUAUAAAUAAAUUAUUGUUAUUAUUGAUGACUUACAGUUUUGGUAAUUAAUCUACAAUAAAUAUAAUUUUACAAAUUGCCUUAUUAGUUAUUAAUAUUUUUAAUAAAUGUAUUGAAAAUUGUGUUUAUGUAGCAUGCUUUAGGUCUUUUACUUAAUACAUUAACUUUCUUGGUAUGAGGAAUUAUUAGACAGGAAUAAUGGACUAUUGGAUUAAUAUACACACUAAAAUCAAUAAGAUACGUAUUUCCUAGUAGAACUGAAAUCUUCCCAUUUAUAAUGAAUGAGUUAGAGAAGCUAGAUAAACAUGCUGUAAGAAUGCUACAUUAAGAUUAAUUAUUGAACAAAUGCUUUUGCAAGAACACUCUAAAUUAAACCAAAUAAAAUUCAGCUGUGUUUGUUGUAA
rnacentral:lncRNA from 1 species